GCGCGAGUGGCGGAAUUGGCAGACGCGCCGGAUUUAGGUUCCGGUUCUUCGGAGUAGGGGUUCAAGUCCCCUCUCGCGCA
rnacentral:tRNA from 1 species